UACGGAAGGCAGCAGUGGGGAAUAUUGCACAAUGGGCGAAAGCCUGAUGCAGCUAUGCCGCGUGUAUGAAGAAGGCCUUAGGGUUGUAAAGUACUUUCAUCGGGGAGGAAAAAACAAAACUAAUAAUUUUAUUUCUUGACGUUACCCGAAAAAGAAGCACCGGCUAACUCCGUGCCAGCAGCCGCGGUAAUACGGAGGGUGCUAGCGUUAAUCAGAAUUACUGGGCGUAAAGAGCACGUAGGUGGUUUUUUUAAGUUCAGAUGUGAAAUCCCUGGGCUUAACCUAGGAACUGCAUUUUGAAACUGAAAUACUAGAGUAUCGUAGAGGGAGGUAGAAUUCUAGGUGUAGCGGUGAAAUGCGUAGAUAUCUGGAGGAAUACCUGUGGCGAAAGCGGCCUCCUAAACGAAUACUGACACUGAGGUGCGAAAGCGUGGGGAGCAAACAGGGAUUAGAUACC
rnacentral:rRNA from 1 species